rnacentral:rRNA from 1 species
AUUGAACGCUGGCGGCAGGCCUAACACAUGCAAGUCGAGCGGAUGAAGGGAGCUUGCUCCUGGAUUCAGCGGCGGACGGGUGAGUAAUGCCUAGGAAUCUGCCUGGUGGUGGGGGAUAACGUCCGGAAACGGGCGCUAAUACCGCAUACGUCCUGAGGGAGAAAGUGGGGGAUCUUCGGACCUCACGCUAUCAGAUGAGCCUAGGUCGGAUUAGCUAGUUGGUGGGGUAAAGGCCUGCCAAGGCGACGAUCCGUAACUGGUCUGAGAGGAUGAUCAGUCACACUGGAACUGAGACACGGUCCAGACUCCUACGGGAGGCAGCAGUGGGGAAUAUUGGACAAUGGGCGAAAGCCUGAUCCAGCCAUGCCGCGUGUGUGAAGAAGGUCUUCGGAUUGUAAAGCACUUUAAGUUGGGAGGAAGGGCAGUAAGUUAAUACCUUGCUGUUUUGACGUUACCAACAGAAUAAGCACCGGCUAACUUCGUG